CAUCAAGUACGUUUCUUCCUCAGACUCUUCUUAACAGAAUAUAUUUAUCAAGAAUUUUUGGGAGUUNUAGCCUUUAUUCCCAAACUUGACAAAUUUUUUUUCUUCAGUUAUAGGGAUAUCAUGAUCAUCAUCUAAAUGGGAAGAGUCUUCAGGUAACUAGGACAGAGAGGAGCUCACUAGAGCAUCUGUGUGGGCUCUUCUGCUUAGAAUUCUGGGUAAAGACAUUUUGAAAAAAUUACUCUAACUUCGCCAAAAAUUUCAAUGUUAUAUAUUAUUAAUAUAAAUAUUAAUGUUGAGAUAUAAAAUGUUCUUUUAGUCUAUUGAUUUGUAUUUUACCAGUAUACAUACAUAAAUAUAGUGUUAUCAUUUUACUUUUAUUUUUUAAAUUCAUAUAAAUGUUAUAUUAAUAUAUGGUUCGAGUCUCAGGGUAAUUCAUCUACAAAAGACACGUUUAUUCCAUUAAGGAUGACUGCUAAGCAUCAGAAAUACUGCUCAAGAAAUAGUGCUUUUUCAUCAAAGGAAUAUUCAAAUCCUAAAUUAUAGGGUUAACUCUGCUUUAUAGUCUCUUAUUCAAAGAUCUCUCACUCCCACGAGAGGUACAGGAAAGAAAUAGACACAUUUCUACUCUGUGUUUUUCCUUGGCUUCAUGCAAUGCAGUUGUCUACAGUUAAGCCGUUUUCCUUGAGUAAGUCAAUUUACAGUGCAAGCAACUAACCUGGAACUCUCUUAGCUAUCAUCUACAUGGAUUGGCCUUGCAUAUGUCUAUUAAAAUAUUCAUAACCUAAAAGUUGAAAGUUAUGUUUUAUUUGGUGGACAAAACCGGGGACUUAAGUCAGUCAGGCAGCAUCUCAGAUAACCCUGAGAAAACUGCUCUGAGGGGGCCAGCAGGCAGCCAGGAUAUGUAGGAGUUUUGCAACAAAGGGCAGGUAGUUGGAACAAAAGAUUACUGUUAAUAAAAGAAACCUAGCUAACUCAAAUUAAGGAAUUUAGUGCUUUUCUAUGUAUGGGACGAUGCCAGGGUCUUACAAGAGUUCUGUUAUGAAGACACUGUUAUUAUCCUUAUUUUAUCGAUGACCAAAUAAAACCCAGAAAGCCAAAGACCAAACAUCUUGUAAAUGGCACAGUCAAAAUUUGAAUACAGAUAUGUCUGAUCACACUCAAAACCCCAUGCUUUUCCUCAUAUACCAAACUAAUGUCCUUUUAUGAUUUUGGAUGGCGACGUGGUGCCCUAGCUCAGAUUCUAGGGAUAUUCUUCUAUAGACAGUCUUCUAUAGUUAAUUUAGUAGAUAAAUAAAGAAUUAAGUAAUCAUAUUUUCACAGAAUGAAAUGUAGUUUAGGAAGUGGGAGAAGUUUUACUGCAACAUAGGAUAAACAAUUUUGGAAAGAUGUUCUAUGAUGUAUCUUCUCUGGAAUUUAUCAUUUCUUCCUGAAAAAUCAUUCACUACAAGUGAUUCAAAUAUGAGACAAACCUUCUGUUAAGUCUAUGCUUCUGCCUUCAUCAAUUAGAGUUGACUUAGUUGCUUUAGCAGAAACCUGAGUACAAUAACUUAUUUACAUGGUAAGAGGUUUUAUUUUUCUUCAGUAAUAAGACAUUAGGAUAUAGUCCAUGGUUGGUUCCAGGUAUUUAAGGAAGUCAUUGAGAACCCAGGAUCAUUCUAGCUUCUAUGAUUGCAAGACUACUAUUUCACUAUUGGGCAUUGAGGCUAAAUUCCAGCAGAAGCAGGAAAAGAUCAAAGGCUGGUACCAGCUGAAUCUAUACCCUCUUAUCAAGAGAGCAAUAAUUUUUCCAGAAGCCCCACUUAAUGGGCUUCCAUGUAUGUCAUCCAGCCACCAAAAGCCACAAGACAGCCUUCAAUAUCAAGUUUUUCAACUGAGCAAAGUAUUCUGUCUACAUUAACAGGUUCUCUCGAUUAAUGAUAAAUUCUGAAAUCAGCCCUGAGAAAAUCAGCUACACAAUUCCAGCAAUGUGAGGGUCCUAGAGCAAACUCAAACAUAAAAAAAGUUGCUACUCUUAUCACUAUGAAACCUAUUCAAAGCUAAGAAUAAAAGACAUCGUAAGUGUCUUAAUAAGACAUCAGAAAUUAUUAAACACAUUUCAUAAGUGGUAAUAAGAGUAUAAAUCAUUAUAAUACUGUUAGAGUUUUUGUUUAUUUUUAAUGGAAGUAUGAAAGACUUUAUGAUUAGAGGAAAAAGCAGUAGGUCUACUCUCUGUUCCUUCCUAUGUGAUCUUAGAGCAGUUGUGUGGUCUUCUCUAUCAGGCAGUUGAAGUUUCAUGGCCUAUAAAAUGAUACCAGGUCAAUAAAAAUUGGCAACAAUUAAACCAGCACAUCACAGAAAAGGAAACAUGACAGGCUAAUAAACCAAUGCAGGGAUGCUCAUCUUAUUUAGGCAUCAGGAUGAUGCAAACUAAAACCACAGUGAGCCAUCACUUUGCACACAUAAGACUGGCUAAAAUUAAAAUCUGACAAUAUCAAGCAUUGACAGUGGUAUAGAGCAGAAUUGGCAAAGUCCAGCUCAUGGGCCAAACCUGGCCUAUGAUCUGCUUUUGUGCAGUCCAUGAGCUAAGAAUGUUUUUUACUUUUUUUUUUUAAAUGAAGACUGUUAAAAAGACUAUUAGCCUUUCAUGGAGAAUAGUUGCUCAGUUUUGCCACUUAGUGCUAAAGCCAAAAAUAUUUAAUAUGUGGUUCUUGAUGGAAAAAGUUUGUUGACCUCUGAUAUGGAGCAAAAUAAUUCUCUUACGGUACUUGCAAGAGUGAAAAUGAUACAACCACUUCAGAAACCAAUUUUGUUUAGUAAAAUGAACAGGUCCAAACCCCAGGACAUAGAUGUAACCUAGAGAAACACUUGCUUACUUGAACAAAGCUGUGUACAACUGGGAAUUAAAAAUGGAACAAGUCCAAAUGUCCACCAACAAUAGAAUGGAAGAAUAAAGUGAAAUAUAACACACAGUGAAUAUCGCUAUGAAGACCAACACUGGUGAAUCUCACGAAGAAAGCAGCAAUCAAAAAUACAAGUUCUAGAGUAGUUCUGUCCACUAGAAAUAUGUGAGAAAUAUAUUUAAUUUUAAAUUUUCUAGUAACCAUAUUAGAAACAAUUUUAAUUUUAACCACAUAUUUUAUUCAACCUAAUUUAUCCAGUUAUCCAUUCAACAUGUAGUCAAUAUAAAAAUAUCAAUAAAGGACAUUAUCUUAUACUGAAUUCUCAAUAUCUGGUGUGUAUAUGUUCAGGACACCUCAACUUGGACUAGCUCCCUCUAGAGUGCUAAUAGUCACACGUGGCUAGUGGCCAUUAUAUUGAACAUCACAUUUUGGGAAGAUGAAAACAGUAAAAUUCUAUUUAUAUUCCAUCAUUCAAAGUAAGCAAAACUAAACUCUAUAUUAUUUAGGGAUACAUGAUAUACAGUAAAACUAGAGAAAAGUCAGGGAGUGAUUGAACCCAAGAUCCAGAAGGUUGGUGAUGUCUGGGGGUGACAGGAAGGGGGGAAUAGAGAUGGAGGGCUGGUUCUGGGGGACUGAAAGGUGUGGAUAACAUUCUAUCUUGUAAGUUUGAUGGUAGGUGCAUGGGUGCUUCUUUUUUGUUAAUUAAACAUGGGCUAUAAUUAUUAUUUUGCUACUAUUCAAUCAUUCACAAACAUUUAAAAAUAAACCCCUCUUGAUAGAGGUGCUACCUUCAGAGAGAAGUUUUAAUACAACCUUGUAUUAAAAACUUGUGCAAAAACUUUUGGAUCAGCAGAACAGAAUGUAAAUAGAGACAAGUUAGUAUCUAUUAUUGUUUCUUAUAAUUUUAUAAUUGGAAGGUCCAUAUGUGCAGAAGUUGCCACAAGGUAGAAACUUUAAAUAGAGAGGACUGAGCAAUACAAGAGAAUGUAAACUGUUAGUUGAUACGCACAGAACAGAAGAGGAGAAAUGGAAAAAAAUCAAUGAGGAAGAAAGAAAUCUGCAUAAGUGGCAACAGAGACAUGUGGAAGUCUUGAAGGGUGACCAGCUGUUGCAUCUCUGAGAUUUGUCAAAAAAGACUUGUGGGGGAGAGUCAAUUGACAGGAAGCUGUCACGGAGGGUUGGGAGGGGAUGGGAGGUGAUAUCCUCAUGGGUGGGAUGGAGAGCAGUAAACUAUACUGGGAAAGAGCCCCGGGCAGAUGCAGUGCUUGAAGCGGGUCCUAAUCUGCUGCGCAGACUGUCUACACACAAAGAGUUGCAGUUGGCAGCAGGAACACGUGCUUGGCAGAGUCAAAGCGGCUUCUUUUUCUGGCUCUGCCAGUCUCCCAUCUUACCAUCUUCAGGAACUGGCUUGAGGCAGAAGAGCUGAGCUCUCUGUAGUGCAUUUCUUUUACUUUUAAGAUGUGGGCAUGAGAAAAGCAGAGCGUGCACAGCCCUGUAACAGGAGCAGAGAGCUGUGUGGAUACCAGGUGGACCCCUUCCAGGACCUGUCUCUGUGUGGACAGGGCCAGGAGCCAUGGUCAGGGACUAGGGUCUGCCCAGGUCUUCCCAAAUAAUCCGCUCUAGAAGUAUUCAAAAGGGGGUAAAAGAUGAUGAUCCUCUGGAAGAUGACAGUUCAUACAGCUGCAAACCCUGGAAAAACUGGUUUAGAUUUCAUUAGGCUCUGGUUUGAGAGAACACUGGCAGCCAUGUUAAAGGAGAAGAAAUAAAAAUAUGUCUUUGAUAUUCACUAUGACCUUCACAUAAAGAGUCUAAAAAAAGCAAAAAGGUGCCUGCAGAUAGGGCUUGGAUAAUUUCUUGGGAAUAUUCAGUCUGGGAAUCUGCAAAAAUGACACCACAAUUUAGCACUAAGCCCUUCUCAGCAGGCUCAUACCUUUCGUGUCUUCUACUUCUUGGUGUUCCCCACAGAGACUGGGAAAGUCAUUGGAUCGACACUCAGCAAAAGAGAGUUGAUCAAACACCCAUCUAAGUGUAAGCCAGCAUGCACUGUCACCUGGCAUAUUUGAUAGGCCUCACUGCAGGCCACGAGGAAGUCACUUUAGAUUCAUGAUUUCACUGAACCUUUGGAACAUGUCUGAGAGAGAAAAACCAUUUUCUAUAUUUUACAAAUGAGGGCACUGCCUCCGAGAGGAGUGCCUUGCCCCCAGGAAGAUACUGAGCUGGGAGUCACACUCUUUAAUCCAUCAGAUUUCAAAGUUCAUGUUUGCCCCCCUACUUUGUGUUAUCUACUCAACUCAUUGAACAUGAACUUAGUUCAGGUUAUUACAUACACUAAAUUUCAUUCCUACAACCACUCUGAAGGAAAUGUACUUGUAAUAUCAUCCUCAUUUUGUUAGAUAACAAGAAUGAGAGGGGUUGUUUGUAAAAGCUAGUUCUCCAUGGAGGAAAAGACAAUAAUAAUGCACUUAUUGACAAUUUACAAGAUGCAGGCAUUGUUCUCAGCACCAUAGGAUUCAUUUAUGUAUCCAUCCCCAGAACAAUUUUUUGAAAUAGAGACAGUUGUUAUUUCCACUUCUCAAAUGAGGAGAGAGAGGCACAGAGAAGUUAAGCAACUCUACAACAUCAUCCAGCUUACUGAAAAAUGGAACUGAAAAUCAAACUGUAAUAGUUGGACUCCAUUAUCCAAAGUCCAAACCACAUCACCAUACCUAAUAUGUGCUAAAUAUUUCCAGGUGAAGAAGUGACCUUUGAUGCUUGAAUUGAAGGAAAAGACCCUACAUAAUUACUUUCCCCUUUACCUCCUUCCACACAAACUCUCCUUUCCUAAACAUAUCUAUGUACAGUGAAGGGGUACAGGUGAAUUAGAAGGGAAGUAAACAAGGCCCACAGGUUUGAUUUCCCUGUGUCCCCUUUUCCCACAGGUAAUUGGUCUAAGGCAAUAAAGGUAAUUCUAAUUCUGACAAUUGAAAUAUAAGAGGAGGUCUAUUGGAGUUGCUUCUGAGAAAGGAUUCUGCACUCUCCAUAAGAAGUCACUCUCUUCCUCUAUAUGUAGUUAUAUCAGGAUGUGAUGCAUGGGACUGUGGUGAACAUCUUUUUGUCAGCCUGAGAAUGAAACAGCCUUGAUGAGGAUCGAGAGCCAGGAGAUGGAAAGAAUCUGGAUCUUGAUGACAUUGUCAAAUCACUGAAAUAACCAACAGGACUCCUCUCGUGGGAAAUGAUAAUUGCCCUUAUUGUUUGAGAUAUGUUGAGGAGAGCUGCCUGUUCUUUGCAGCCUAAAACAUCCUGACUGCAACAAAGGCUGUUCUCAAGCAGAUGGAAUGAUAAACUAAGCUGGAAGAUCAUCCUUAUCAGUUGGAGCAAUCUGCCUCAGGCAGUAUGGAUCUCCCUAUCACAUCACAUCAGUGUGUGAGCAGGGGCUAGGCUGCCAUUUGUAGAUGAAACGUAUUAAUUAAUACUGGACGCUGAACCAAAUUAUCUUAAAGGCUUCUAACUCUAGGUUAUCAUUCUUCCAUAAACAAUAUAAAUAAAAUUUAUGUUUUUAUAUUUAGCAUUGCCAGAAACAAAUAUAUGUUUUUAAGAAUUAGGUAAGGUCAUACGUCAUAAUUUUAAGACUGCCGGUUUGGGGAGUUCUCCUGUGGUACAGUGGGUUAAAGAUCUGGAGCUGUCACUGCAGUGGCUUGGAUUGUUGCUCUGGUGCUGGAUUAAUCCCUGGCCUGGAAAAUUCCACAUGUUGUGGGCAGGGCCAAAAAAAAAAAAA
rnacentral:lncRNA from 1 species